rnacentral:rRNA from 1 species
UUUAAAUAGCUGCAGUAUUAAUAACUGUACAAAGGUAGCAUAAUAAUUAGUUUUUUAAUUNAAAACUAGAAUGAAAGAUUUAAUGAAAUAUAAACUUUAUAAAAUUUAUUUAAUAAAUUUAUUAAUUAAAUAAAAAAAUUUAAAUAAUUAAUAAAGACGAGAAGACCCUAUAGAAUUUUCCUAAUUUUUUAUUAAAAUAUAUUUUUAAUAAUUAAAUUAUUUUAAUUGGGGCAAUUUUAAAAUUUUNUUAAUUUUUAGUUAAAUUUUUUACAUUAAUUUUUGAAUAAUUAAUAUUUUUCUAAAAAUUUAAAUNUUAAAUUACCUUAGGGAUAACAGCAUAAUUUUUUUUAAAAGUUCAAAUUUAUAAAAAAGUUUAU